CGUGUAGGCGGCCAGGUAGGUCUGCUGUGAAACUCGAGGCUUAACCUCGAGAUGUCGGCGGGAACCAUCUGGCUAGAGUCCGGAAGAGGAGAAUGGAAUUCCCGGUGUAGCGGUGAAAUGCCCAGAUAUCGGGAAGAACACCCGUGGCGAAGGCGGUUCUCUGGGACGGUACUGACGCUGAGACGCGAAAGCGUGGGGAGCGAACA
rnacentral:rRNA from 1 species